GCAGUUGAACCGCACGUCUCCAU
rnacentral:snRNA from 1 species